AUUACCAGAUUAAUACUGAAGUAUUCCAUUAUAUAUUGGUUAGAGUCAAGAUGCAGUAUGGUAAUGAGGUUCAGAUGUCAGGUUUCCAUCUUGUUACAGAUCACUGGACAGCCUUAUGGAGUGUUUCACGUAUUGACACACGUCGAACCGCGAAGGAGGCAAGAUUUGAAAUGAACUAAAGUCACUCAAGGGCCUGGAACUAGCAUUUUACACAGGAAUCCCACGAAAAUCUUUAUUUUUUGUCGAAAAAUAGACGGUUUUCGAGUAAUAUUUUUUGCCCAAAACGUGAAACAUGACCAGAAAAGGCUAUAUUCGUACCCUACGGAGGAUAAAAACCCGAAAAAACGCUUAUUUUAGGCAAAAAACACUAUUAUGUUAAUUAGUCACGUGACCAGUCACGUGACCCUUAAUUUUGUGUUUUUUAAGGCGUGAGUUUUAAAUUUUCAUAACAAAAAAAAAAUCGUGGGUUUGAAAUAAUCCUUUCAUUUGAAUUCAUUAGAUCACGCAGUUGAUAAUAAAAGAACAUCGAACCUUUA